CCUACGGGGGGCUGCAGUGGGGAAUAUUGGACAAUGGGGGGAACCCUGAUCCAGCCAUGCCGCGUGUGUGAAGAAGGCCCUCGGGUUGUAAAGCACUUUCAGUGAGGAAGAACGCCUGGUGGUUAAUACCCAUCAGGAAAGACAUCACUCACAGAAGAAGCACCGGCUAACUCCGGGCCAGCAGCCGCGGUAAUACGGAGGGUGCGAGCGUUAAUCGGAAUUACUGGGCGUAAAGCGCGCGUAGGUGGCUUGAUAAGCCGGUUGUGAAAGCCCCGGGCUCAACCUGGGAACGGCAUCCGGAACUGUCAAGCUAGAGCGCAGGAGAGGAAGGUAGAAUUCCCGGUGUAGCGGUGAAAUGCGUAGAGAUCGGGAGGAAUACCAGUGGCGAAGGCGGCCUUCUGGACUGACACUGACACUGAGGUGCGAAAGCGUGGGUAGCAAACAGGAUUAGAUACCCGGGUAGUC
rnacentral:rRNA from 1 species